GCACCCAUGAUGUAGCGGAAGCCUACCGGCUUGCCAUGUCGGAUGUGCGGGUUCGACUCCCGCUGGGUGCU
rnacentral:tRNA from 1 species